rnacentral:rRNA from 1 species
AGAGUUUGAUCCUGGCUCAGAACGAACGCUGGCGGCAGGCUUAAUACAUGCAAGUCGAACGGUUGUAGCAAUACAGCAGUGGCAGACGGGUGAGUAACACGUGGGAACCUACCUAGGGGUACGGAAUAACUCAGGGAAACUUGUGCUAAUACCGUAUACGACCUCAGGGUGAAAGAUUUAUCGCCCCUAGAUGGGCCCGCGUUGGAUUAGCUAGUUGGUGAGGUAAAAGCUCACCAAGGCGACGAUCCAUAGCUGGUCUGAGAGGAUGAUCAGCCACACUGGGACUGAGACACGGCCCAGACUCCUACGGGAGGCAGCAGUAGGGAAUCUUGGACAAUGGGCGAAACCCUGAUCCAGCAAUGCCGCGUGAGUGAUGAAGGCCUUAGGGUUGUAAAGCUCUUUUACCCGGGAUGAUAAUGACAGUACCGGGAGAAUAAGCCCCGGCUAACUCCGUGCCAGCAGCCGCGGUAAUACGGAGGGGGCUAGCGUUGUUCGGAAUUACUGGGCGUAAAGCGCACGUAGGCGGCGAUUUAAGUCAGAGGUGAAAGCCCGGGGCUCACCCCCGGAAUAGCCUUUGAGACUGGAUUGCUUGAACAUCGGAGAGGUGAGUG